rnacentral:rRNA from 11 species
UAUUAAGACCUAAAUAUUUCAAAGGCACCAGAUCCCAUUUGAUCUUGGAAGCUAAGCAGGUUCAGCUCUAAUUCAGUAUUUGGAUGGAAGAUCCACUGAGGAGUACCAGGUGCUAUAAGUU